ensembl:processed_transcript Gm4258 predicted gene 4258
GAUAGUACGGUGGAGCAGGGAUGCCUGAGCACAAGUAGCGAGUUCCGAGUGACUUUAGGAAAUGCUUCCCCCCCUUCCUGGGCAUGCAAACAAGACUCUGCACCUGCACCGCAGUUUGUUCCGGAGAGAAGCCUCGGCUUCGCCCUGCAGGGACGAGGAACUAGAGCAAGAAGCAGCAUUUGAAAAUUGCUCUGGAGUCAAGGAUCAAAAAAAAAAAUCCCAUGAAGGAGAAUGAAGGCAGCUCCAUCUACAUGUUCAAUGGCAAUCCAGUAGGAACCACAGCUACGUACGUGCAUGUCCCUGAGGAACUUAAAGAGAUUCUCAGAAUGAACACAGACUUCCUUAAAGCAACAUGUCCAGGCUGACUUCAGUCCUUCAUGUAGAAGACUCUCCCUGGUCUGAGAAGAGCAACUGUAUUUGAAUUUGCAAUAAAAGAGCUUCCUAUGUAGUUUCAACGAAAAUGAACUACUGGAUUAUCCUGGAGCCAAGGCAAUUACAGGAAAGUAGGUA